rnacentral:rRNA from 1 species
UAUUGCACAAUGGGCGCAAGCCUGAUGCAGCCAUGCCGCGUGUGUGAAGAAGGCCUUCGGGUUGUAAAGCACUUUCAGUCAGGAGGAAAGGUUAGUAGUUAAUACCUGCUAGCUGUGACGUUACUGACAGAAGAAGCACCGGCUAACUCCGUGCCAGCAGCCGCGGUAAUACGGAGGGUGCGAGCGUUAUCGGAAUUACUGGGCGUAAAGCGUACGCAGGCGGUUUGUUAAGCGAGAUGUGAAAGCCCCGGGCUCAACCUGGGAACUGCAUUUCGAACUGGCAAACUAGAGUGUGAUAGAGGGUGGUAGAAUUUCAGGUGUAGCGGUGAAAUGCGUAGAGAUUUGAAGGAAUACCGAUGGCGAAGGCAGCCACCUGGGUCAACACUGACGCUCAGACGAAG